UGGGGAAUCAUGGUCAAUGGGCGAAAGCCUGAACCUGCGACGCCGCGUGAGUGAUGAAGGUCGUACGAUCGUAAAACUCUUUUCAGGGAUCUUAAAGCCUGUCUGUCAACAACAGGCAGAUCUGACUCUCCCUGGAAGAAGCCCCAGCCAACUACGUGCCAGCAGCUGCGGUAAUACGUAGGGGGCGCGCGUUAUUCGGAAUUACUGGGUGUAAAGGGUCUGUAGGCGGCCCUUCAAGUCGCGUGUCAAAGUCCAGUGCUCAACGCUGGGUGUGCA
rnacentral:rRNA from 1 species